rnacentral:miRNA from 1 species
GCAUCAUACUCCUGCAUAUU